rnacentral:rRNA from 1 species
CGGUCCUACGGGGGGCAGCAGUGAGGAAUAUUGGUCAAUGGGCGAGAGCCUGAACCAGCCAAGUCGCGUGAGGGAGUACUGCCCUAUGGGUUGUAAACCUCUUUUGUCGGGGAGCAAAAGCCGGACGUGUCCGGCUGUGAGAGUACCCGAAGAAAAAGCAUCGGCUAACUCCGUGCCAGCAGCCGCGGUAAUACGGAGGAUGCGAGCGUUAUCCGGAUUUAUUGGGUUUAAAGGGUGCGUAGGCGGAACAUUAAGUCAGCGGUAAAAUCGAGGGGCUCAACCCCUUUAAGCCGUUGAAACUGGUG